rnacentral:rRNA from 1 species
GAUGAACGCUGGCUACAGGCUUAACACAUGCAAGUCGAGGGGAAACGGCAUUGAGUGCUUGCACUGAAUGGACGUCGACCGGAGCACGGGUGAGUAACGCGUAUCCAACCUUCCCGUUACUGCGGGAUAACCUGCCGAAAGGCAGACUAAUACCGCAUGUUCUUCGAUGACGGCAUCAGAUUCGAAGCAAAGAUCCGUCGGUAACGGAGGGGGAUGCGUCUGAUUAGCUAGUUGGCGGGGCGACGGCCCACCAAGGCGACGAUCAGUAGGGGUUCUGAGAGGAAGGUCCCCCACAUUGGAACUGAGACACGGUCCAAACUCCUACGGGACGCAGCAGUGAGGAAUAUUGGUCUAUGGGCGGAAGCCUGAACCAGCCAAGUAGCGUGCAGGAUGACGGCCCUACGGGUUGUAAACUGCUUUUAUGCGGGGAUAAAGUGAGGGACGCGUCCCUUUUUGCAGGUACCGCAUGAAUAAGGACCGGCUAAUUCCGUG